UGAAGCCCCCUCCAAGAUAAGAUAUCCCACAGCUUAAGCUGGUAAGACCCCUCAUGGACUAUGAGGUUGAUAGGCUGCAGGUGUAAGAGUAGUGAUACUUUCAGCUGGGCAGUACUAAUAGGUCGAGGGCUUGACCAU
rnacentral:ncRNA from 1 species